rnacentral:rRNA from 1 species
UAGGGAAUCUUCCGCAAUGGGCGCAAGCCUGACGGAGCAACGCCGCGUGAGUGAUGAAGGUCUUCGGAUCGUAAAACUCUGUUAUUAGGGAAGAACAAACGUGUAAGUAACUGUGCACGUCUUGACGGUACCUAAUCAGAAAGCCACGGCUAACUACGUGCCAGCAGCCGCGGUAAUACGUAGGUGGCAAGCGUUAUCCGGAAUUAUUGGGCGUAAAGCGCGCGUAGGCGGUUUUUUAAGUCUGAUGUGAAAGCCCACGGCUCAACCGUGGAGGGUCAUUGGAAACUGGAAAACUUGAGUGCAGAAGAGGAAAGUGGAAUUCCAUGUGUAGCGGUGAAAUGCGCAGAGAUAUGGAGGAACACCAGUGGCGAAGGCGACUUUCUGGUCUGUAACUGACGCUGAUGUGCGAAAGCGUGGGGAUCAAACA